GAUGACAUGAGGGGAGCCAUAUUAAAAUAGAGCCAGAGCAGCCAUUUCAGAGGAAUUGCCUUGUGUGUCUUGUUUUAUUUAUCUUACAAAAUGGAUCAAACUGCCAACAUUCCUAAAGGUUGACACCAGAGAGUAGCAGGCUGUUUUCUGCUAUUGCUGUCCUCCCCUGAGACAAUCAACUUAAACUGGCCCAACUUCCUGGAUGAAGGUCUUUUUCAGAGGAAAUUCUUCCAUAUGUAGCUGUGGACUUGGUGUGUCCGUGGGAGGAAGUGAAUUCAGGACCUUCCUACGUCACCAUCUUGAACAGGAACCAUCAAAAGGCUAGGAACUGACUGCUGUGCUCCCCUUGGACCACCCAGCUCACCUGUGACCACACAGCUCGAGACAACAGACUUGCUUCGUGCUGCGCCCGCCAAGACAGCAGACCCACUACCUGCUGUGUCCAUCAAUUGCUGUGCUGACAGGGCAAUCUUGUGACUAUUGUAAGAGGGACAUUUCAAUCAUAUGUGAGACACCCUCUUUGAGGGUAUAUAACCACCCCGUACAACCCCACUUCUUUGGAGUGCUCCAUUCCUUUGUGGAAGGAUUUUCCCGGGCUAUAUGGUCCUCACAUUUCAGCUCAGAAUAAACUCACCCCAAUUUUGAUUUAUAGAUUGGUUAUGGAUUAUUUGCAUUGACAAGCUUUACUUUGUGAUUGAAAAAUCAAUAUGUAUUUUUUUAAAAAAAUGCAAAGAUGGAGGAAGAUUGCUGUAACGUGUUGGAACAUUUAUUGGGACAUCCAAUAUCUUAUUGGAAAACUUACAAAUAAAAAAAGAAAAGGAAGAAACUCAGUUGUAACCAGUCAGCUCACAUUCUCUUCUUCUUAUUUAUUCCAAG
rnacentral:lncRNA from 1 species